rnacentral:tRNA from 1 species
UGGGUUGUAUUUAAUUAUAAUAUCUGAUUUGCAUUCAGAAGGUACUCAAUGAGUCUUCCUAG